GGGUCAGGAGGUUGGUCGUGCCACCGGUACGUACUGGUCUCACUGAUUCCUCCUUCCUGAAGAACCGUAAUGCCAUUAAUUUGGUGUUGCGGGGAAACAGGACUGUUACUUUGAAAAAAUUAGAGUGUUUAAAGCAAGCUAACGCUUGAAUACACUAGCAUGGAAUAAUGAAAUAGGACGAUCGAUCCUAUUUUGUUGGUUUCUAGGAUUGACGUA
rnacentral:rRNA from 1 species